ACAUAACGCAGUUUCACCCAUUUCCAAUUGACUACUUGUUUAUAUAUGUAAACAUUACGUUUAACUACGUAUUAAAUCUUGUAUUACUUAUACAAUUGGUUCAAAAUGCCACAUUUUUGCAGUGUCGUUAAAUGCGCAACGAGAUACGGUUUCUUUUUUCCGAUUUUAGCGCGACAGAAGAGAGAUGAUUUGAAUGCUUUCUCUAGUGAACGUCGAAAUGUUUGUGUUAAGGCUUUAAAACGGGUGCCUCUGGGUGAAAUCUUUGUGAGAAAUGAUCGUAUUUGCUUACGACAUUUCAUAACUGGAAAACCAGCUGGCUUGGAAGACAAAACUAAUCCAGCUGUGUUGCCCAACGAAAAUUUAGGAAACAUUUGUACUCUCUAGCCAGGUCAAUCUGCCGCCUACUCCCUAUUUAAAAGGUUGUUUUUAAGUUGUUUCUGCAUGGUAUACAAGAAUUUGACAGUGUUUCACAAUUUAUUGAAGAAAUUUGAGCAAAGCAGAUUUAUGGAAGCCGUAUUAGUGAGUCAGUUCAAACUGAUGUACCUAACUGAAGAAUAUUCAAGUCGUCUUUUUCAGAACUUAGAUUUUUGCAAUUCAAUAAUGUACACCUUGCAAGCAAAAGUUCAAGUGAUGGAUGUCAAUGAGAAUUAUGUUAAAAAUACAUGCUUUAUCCCUAACGUGUGUAGCUGAUAUCUCUUGAACCGUGCCAGACUCAGCAUACUUGUAAACUUGCAAAUCUUUAUAAGCUUUGAGCUGUAAUCCAAUGUAAAAACUACGGCUUUAAAUUAAGUAAUUCACCAAAUACGUCGUGAUGUUGUGGAGAACUUAUAAAUAUCAAGCCGUAAUGACCAAGGGGGAUCAAACAAGGGUCAAAAACUUCAGUUUGUUUAUCGUAUCUCCACUAAGCCUUGAAUAGUAUGCACUUCAAGACAUAGUUAUACUCAUCGGACAUUUGUUCUAAAUAAAAAUAUUCUCUUUCCUCAGCCUGAUAACCACCCCUGUUUAUAAAUAUAAGUAUUAUCAAAAAUGUAA